GACACUCUGGAAAGUCGGGGAGCGAUCCCCGCGCCGAAGGUGUAAGCGUGGUCGACAGGGUUCCGGCUGCGCGAGUCUCUCAGGCUUCCGACAGAGGGG
rnacentral:ncRNA from 1 species